rnacentral:rRNA from 1 species
GUCUACGGCCAUGCUACCCUGAACAAGCCCGAUCCCUCUGAUCUUGUCUGAUCUCAGAAGCUAAACAGGGUCGGGCCUGAUUAGUACUUGGAUGGGAGACCACCUAGGAAGACCAGGCACUGUAGGUG